rnacentral:rRNA from 1 species
UACGGGGGGAGCAAGCGUUGUUCGGAUUUACUGGGCGUAAAGGGCGCGUAGGCGGCCAGCACAAGUCAGUUGUGAAAUCUCCGAGCUUAACUCGGAAAGGUCAACUGAUACUGUGCGGCUAGAGUGCGGAAGGGGCAACUGGAAUUCUUGGUGUAGCGGUGAAAUGCGUAGAUAUCAAGAGGAACACCUGCGGCGAAGGCGGGUUGCUGGGCCGACACGUGACGCUGGAGGCGCGAAAGCCAGGGGAGCGAACGGGA